UGUGUGUGUGUGUGUGUGUGUGUGUGUCAGGUCGAAGGUGUGUGUUCACUCCUCUUAAAAAACAGUCUACUCCACAAAAAGAGAAGAUUCAAGUCGACAGAGAGGCGACUCUGAAAGCAAAAGGAUCGGCUCCAUCUAUCCUCAAGCUUCUUUACUCCACUUGCCUAUUUGUCCAAAAAAAGAACCGCAAAAAAAAUAAAAUGGGAGGUCAGAGCGACGACUGGGAUGAAGAUCACGGGGACACGAUGCAGAGUCAGCCUCGGAAACACGAGGAGACGGAGGACAAAAGCUCGGGGAGCAAAUGUCCCAAGUGCUGCUUGAAGACACGGGACUGCCUGAUGAGCGCAGAAUGCGGCAGGGCACUCCAGAUCUCCAGCGUCGUCGCCAUGUGUGGAAUGUGCAUUCGCUUUUUUGUGUAACCUAACCUUGGACAUCCGGACCCAUUUUUCCAGGCUGCAUUGAUUCUCAGCGUCCCCCGGCACCCUUAAUGUGAUUUACGUCAUGUGGUUUUCUUUUCCGACUGAGAUGAAUAUAUUCACUUUCAGUCCGUUUCAUCAGCUACAACCCUCUUCGUUUCUCUGUUCACAAGUUAUUUAUUGAACAAACAAUUCACCGUCUGUAUAUAAAACAAACUUAAGGAGACAAUCCUUAUGAAUGAAUGAACGAAAGUGAAAGUGAAUUUGAUGUUUUUGUGAGAGGUUUAUUCGGACGCCUGUCUGAUUGAUCAAACAUUUAUUUAUAAUCAUGGUUGAGCAGUUUUCAGUAAUGAGAUGAAAUAACUGUAAUAUU